rfam:Mesorhizobium sp. TASWS1009 33, whole genome shotgun sequence.
GGAUGGAGCAGCCCGGUAGCUCGUCAGGCUCAUAACCUGAAGGUCGUAGGUUCAAAUCCUACUCCCGCAA